rnacentral:ncRNA from 1 species
UGAUAGAGGCGCGAAUGUCAAGAGUACGUCUCCCCCCACGGCGCAGGCGCCGGGGAGAGGGAAAGGGGCCUUCGCCGAGGUUUUGCUCCUCGCCUGUGGGGAAGCGAAGCCGGGCCGUGGGAGAAUAUCCCCCGGACUGUCGUCCCUCCAAAGGGGCGGAGCGCUGUCGU